CAAUCAUUGUGCCCUAGGCAGGUGUCUCUUUGCCUACCCCUAGUUCCGACCCUAAUUACAUAUAAGAACAUUAGUGGGACCAUUAAUGACUGCAAGUGCAUUGUGUAAAGUUCAGUUUUGAGGGGCCCUCACACAAGUCUACCCGACUGAUAUCUGGACGCCAUCCCCUGUCCCGUCUCCCUCCUCAGGUAAGCAAUUACAAUCACUGGGGGCCGCUUAACAUUAGCCACCCCCCAGUGAUUAAGCCUUUCCGUCUCCUUUAAAAAAGGCAUGGCUGGAACUGAUCUAUUUUGCUGCCUCUGGCACUGUUGCGCAUUUGAUUUUUUUUUUGAAUUAUCUAUUAACCUAUCAGUCUAUCAAAAGGAUCUCCCAGCCUGCACCAAAUAUCUCCUGACAAUGUUUUCUAGCGGCACAGGGACAUGGUUUAUCCCAUGCUCAUUGGUACAAAUCCAAAGGGCAACAUGUCUGUACAUUUAUAUGUUUGGACGAUUAAAUUUAUGCUGUAGUGUGUUUAGUCCAUAUUAAAUAUAAUUUCCCAUAAUCUCCUACACACCUACAUGCCCCCAGUGAAUACAGGACUGCUGAAUGGUGUUUUUUAUGGGGCAGAUGCAAUCCAUUUUGGAAUGCCAAGACCUCUGGCUAUUCUCCAAAGUACGGUUUAAAGGAGAAAAAGGCAUGGCAAAUUGCACCUGUUCCAGGCACUUUGCACCGUGCCCUAGACUUUCUAAAUGAGGUAUAUUGUCCCGGCAUGAAAAUCCUCUGCAACGUGCAGAACAUUUCAUAGACACGAUGCCAUGUGUCAGGGCCCUCAGAGGUGAGUGAUAGUUCAAACUGACAGAUACAAAUCUACGGUACCAUUCCCCUUACCAAACAUGGCUUUAAUGAUUGCCUAGUGUUAAACAUUAAAUAGGCGAAAAGUGAUAGACAAGAUAAGAGGGAUUUAUCACAGAUAUCGCUAUCAUUAUCUUCCAACUUUCUGAGUGAAAUGCACCAAUAAAGUUAAAGGCACUUUCUUAGCUCUGCAUCUUAUAGGCAGCAUGGUCGUGUCUGUGCCCUGGGCAGCUCAGGCCACUUUCAUAAGGAUUUUAGAAUGUACAAGGCUCCAUAGUAAAGUACCUGUUUUAGCUUCAAAACUCUCCAACUUUAUCAGUGUUCUCAGAUUAAUCCUAGAAACAUAAUAAGGGAGUGAAUUAAUCACUCAUAGCAAGAUAAUAAAGGGGUUGGUCACCUUGAAAUUAACUUUUAGUAUGUUGUAGAAAGUUGGAUGAGGAGUGCAUUGGUGUGUUGAUGUGAUAUGUGAUAUAUGUAUCCCAUCCCAUGUGAUGUGAUUGUGUGGCCCAUGGCCAAACGAAUGGAGCACUCCAAUAUUGCUUACCUCAAGGUGGGUAUAUCGGUGAAGGAGUCAAUAAGAAUUCUUACCAAUUCUGCCAUGUGUCUUGUCAGACUCUUGAUCUGAUCCAAACUGUAUAUUCACAUCAGUGUAAUCUUUGCCAUAAAGCAAGACCAGUCUCAAUCUUUCUAUAUGUAACACCCCUAACUAAAGCAAGAAACAUGAACAAUUGCAUAGACAGUUUACAGGACUACAUAUCCCAGCAUGCCGCAGACCUGAGGACCUUGCUGGGGCUUUGAAUCCACCAAUGAUAAGGAAAGGCGCAAAAUGUUUUGAGGACCACCCUCCUGGAUUAUAAAAAGUGGAGAGAAGUGGGUGCCAGGGAUAAAACUGCUGCCUGUUGCCUACCUGCUGUGCCUGCUCUGAGUGUGAGAGCUGCCAGAGGGGAGAGAGACACCUGCAGGGAUCCUGGCCCAGGAGAAGCUGCUACAGGGAGAAGCUGACCCUGCUAUCCCAGCUCUGGACUUGCACCUGUAAAAGAGCUAUCAGUGCUAGCCAGAAAGGGAGCAGGGGGAAGCUGCCUACUGUUGGUAGGAGAGUCCCAGGCUGACAGGCUGCAGAGAGGCCCAGGGGAUUACAGAUGCUGGAGGGCAGAGCUGCCUGUGUCCAAUCUGUUACUAAAGGGGAUACAGUGAUUUGGAGCACAGACUUUUCUUAUAGACCUCCCAGUGUCUGCUGCUGUACUAGGAACAUCCGCUGUCUCCAGAACAUGAAUACUGGGCCCCAUUGCUCAGUGCUUCUGCAAGCUCAAAUGGAUUUCUGAUGGUUUCCUGCAGAGAAGAAAAAGAGCUCCUCAUUUACGGUAAUGUAUCUGGCAGUGACAAGACGUGGAGUGCAAAAGCCAAUAUCUGCAGCGAUGUCAAACAGUUCCUUCCAUGUGAGUGCCCCCCCAAGGCCUUCACCUGCAUUACAGGAUAUGGGACAUCAUGAGAAGGCCAUGCCAUGUUACUGUAUGUCAAUCACAUGGUAACUAACUGGAUAUAUUCAUCGGACAUUACAUAUACACAGGGAAUUAUAUAACUUCUAUAUAUCAUUACUGGCAUUACUUACUAUAAGGCAAUUAUUAGAAGCUCACUGCCUUAGUUCUAUUAUAUAGACAUAUACUGUAAGUGUGUGUGCUCUGGUCACUACAGUAGUGCCAUGUGAAUGAAAUAAAGUUGACCUACCCCA